ACUCAAAUGAAUAGACGGGGACCCGCACAAGCGGUGGAGUAUGUGGUUUAAUUCGACGCAACACGAAAAACCUUACCUAGGCUCGAACGACUGGAAGUAAAAUUGAUGAAAGUCGAGAUGACCUGUAAAGUCAGGAACCAGCCGAGGUGCUGCAUGGUUGUCGUCAGCUCGUGUCGUGAGAUGUUGGGUUAAGUCCCGCAACGAGCGCAACCCUCAUCUCCUGUUGCCACCCUCGCAAGAGGAGCACUCUGGAGAAACUGCCCACGAUGAGUGGGAGGAAGGUGGGGAUGACGUCAAAUCACCAUGGCCCUUAUGUCUAGGGCUACACACGUACUACAAUGGCCGGUACAAUGGGACGCAAGGCAGCAAUGCGGAGCCAAUCCCUGUAAAGCCGGCCCCAGUUCAGAUUGUGGGCUGAAAUUCGUCCACAUGAAGGUGGAAUCGCUAGUAAUCGCGAAUCAGAAGGUCGCGGUGAAUACGUUCCCGGGUCUUGCACACACCGCCCGU
rnacentral:rRNA from 1 species